rnacentral:rRNA from 1 species
GACGAACGCUGGCGGCGUGCUUAAAACAUGCAAGUCGAACGGACUUCUCAUGAAGCUUGCGAUUGAGAAGUUAGUGGCGGACGGGUGAGUAACGCGUGGGCAACCUGCCCCUGAGCCCGGGAUAACAGUUCGAAAGGACUGCUAAGACCGGAUAUACUUGCGGUGAAGCAUUUCACUGCAAGGAAAGGGAACGCUCAGGGAUGGGCCCGCGUCCCAUUAGCUAGUUGGUGAGGUAACGGCCCACCAAGGCGACGAUGGGUAGCCGGCCUGAGAGGGUGAACGGCCACACUGGGACUGAGACACGGCCCAGACUCCUACGGGAGGCAGCAGUUGGGAAUCUUCGGGCAAUGGGGCGCAAGCCUGACCGAGCAACGCCGCGUGAGUGAUGAAGGUUUUCGGAUUGUAAAGCUCUGUCUUCCGGGACGAUAAUGACGGUACCGGAGGAGGAAGCCACGGCUAACUACGUG